rnacentral:rRNA from 1 species
UUGGGAUUGCUUUGGAAACUGCAUGACUUGAGUGCUGGAGAGGCAAGGGGAAUUCCACGUGUAGCGGUGAAAUGCGUAGAUAUGUGGAGGAAUACCAGUGGCGAAGGCGCCUUGCUGGACAGUGACUGACGCUGAGGCACGAAAGCGUGGGGAGCAAACAGGAUUAGAUACCCUGGUAGUCCACGCCGUAAACGAUGAGUGCUAGGUGUUGGGGGGACACACCCCAGUGCCGAAGGAAACCCAAUAAGCACUCCGCCUGGGGAGUACGGUCGCAAGACUGAAACUCAAAGGAAUUGACGGGGGCCCGCACAAGCAGUGGAGCAUGUGGUUUAAUUCGAAGCAACGCGAAGAACCUUACCAGGGCUUGACAUCCCUCUGACCGGUGCAGAGAUGCACCUUCCCUUUGGGGCAGAGGAGACAGGUGGUGCAUGGUUGUCGUCAGCUCGUGUCGUGAGAUGUUGGGUUAAGUCCCGCAACGAGCGCAACCCUUGAUCUGUGUUACCAGCACGUGAUGGUGGGGACUCACAGGUGACUGCCGGCGUAAGUCGGAGGAAGGCGGGGAUGACGUCAAAUCAUCAUGCCCUUUAUGUCCUGGGCUACACACGUGCUACAAUGGGCGGUACAACGGGAAGCGAAGCCGCGAGGUGGAGCCAAACCUAAAAAGCCGUUCGUAGUUCGGAUUGCAGGCUGCAACUCGCCUGCAUGAAGCCGGAAUUGCUAGUAAUCGCGGAUCAGCAUGCCGCGGUGAAUCCGUUCCCGGGCCUUGUACACACCGCCCGUCACACCACGAGAGUCGGCAACACCCGAAGUCGGUGAGGUAACCAUGAUGGAGCCAGCCGCCGAA